UAAGAUCGGAAUAACUCCGGGAAACCGGAGCUAAUGCCGGGUAAUACUUUCUUUCGCAUGAAGGAAAGUUGAAAGAUGGCUUCUUGCUAUCACUUACAGAUGGACCCGCGGCGCAUUAGCUAGUUGGUGAGGUAACGGCUCACCAAGGCGACGAUGCGUAGCCGACCUGAGAGGGUGAUCGGCCACACUGGGACUGAGACACGGCCCAGACUCCUACGGGAGGCAGCAGUAGGGAAUCUUCCGCAAUGGACGAAAGUCUGACGGAGCAACGCCGCGUGAACGAUGAAGGUCUUCGGAUCGUAAAGUUCUGUUGUUAGGGAAGAACAAGUACCGUUCGAAUAGGGCGGUACCUUGACGGUACCUAACGAGGAAGCCCCGGCUAACUACGUGCCAGCAGCCGCGGUAAUACGUAGGGGGCAAGCGUUGUCCGGAAUUAUUGGGCGUAAAGCGCUCGCAGGCGGUUCCUUAAGUCUGAUGUGAAAGCCCACGGCUCAACCGUGGAGGGUCAUUGGAAACUGGGGAACUUGAGGACAGAAGAGGAGAGUGGAAUUCCACGUGUAGCGGUGAAAUGCGUAGAUAUGUGGAGGAACACCAGUGGCGAAGGCGACUCUCUGGUCUGUCUCUGACGCUGAGGAGCGAAAGCGUGGGUAGCAAACAGGAUUAGAUACCCUGGUAGUCCACGCCGUAAACGAUGAGUGCUAGGUGUUAGGGGGCUUCCACCCCUUAGUGCUGAAGUUAACGCAUUAAGCACUCCGCCUGGG
rnacentral:rRNA from 1 species